AACGCAUAUUGCGCUCGAGCCCUCGGGCAAGAGCAUGUCUGCCUCAGCGUCGGUUUAUACCCUCACCCCUCCCAAUUUGUUGGGCGUGUUUGCUGUUAUGCAACCAUAUGGGUGGAUCUGGCCUCCCCAAUCAGCCUCCGGGCGGGUUGGGUUGGCUGAAGCGCAGAGGCUCAAGCAAGGACCCAGUAUGGGCUUCAACUGGAUAGGUAGCACCGGCAUUCGCCGACUACACGAAGUUGUUGCUUGUGGAUCUUGUUAGGGCCAAGCAGGAACGUGCCUAUGGCAUCGUUUACACUUUCGACCUGAGCUCAGGCAAGGCUACCCGCUGAACUUAA
rnacentral:misc_RNA from 1 species